UACGGGGGGGGCAAGCGUUGUUCGGAAUUACUGGGCGUAAAGGGCUCGUAGGCGGCCAACUAAGUCAGACGUGAAAUCCCUCGGCUUAACCGGGGAACUGCGUCUGAUACUGGUUGGCUUGAAUCCGGGAGAGGGAUGUGGAAUUCCAGGUGUAGCGGUGAAAUGCGUAGAUAUCUGGAGGAAUACCGGUGGCGAAGGCAGCCUCCUGGGCUAACACUGACGCUCAUGUACGAAAGCGUGGGGAG
rnacentral:rRNA from 1 species